GACGAACGCUGGCGGCGUGCUUAACACAUGUAAGUCGUACGGUAAGGCCCUUUCGGGGGUACACGAGUGGCGAACGGGUGAGUAACACGUGAGUAACCUGCCCACAACUUUGGGAUAACGCUAGGAAACUGGUGCUAAUACUGGAUAUGUGCUCCUGCUGCAUGGUGGGGGUUGGAAAGCUCCGGCGGUUGUGGAUGGACUCGCGGCCUAUCAGCUUGUUGGUGGGGUAGUGGCCUACCAAGGCGGCGACGGGUAGCCGGCCUGAGAGGGUGACCGGCCACAUUGGGACUGAGAUACGGCCCAGACUCCUACGGGAGGCAGCAGUGGGGAAUAUUGCACAAUGGGCGCAAGCCUGAUGCAGCAACGCCGCGUGCGGGAUGACGGCCUUCGGGUUGUAAACCGCUUUCAGCAGGGACGAAGCUUUUUGUGACGGUACCUGCAGAAGAAGCACCGGCUAACUACGU
rnacentral:rRNA from 1 species